UAAUACGUAGGUGGCAAGCGUUGUCCGGAUUUACUGGGCGUAAAGGGUGCGUAGGUGGAUAUUUAAGUCAGAUGUGAAACCCCUGGGCUCAACUCAGGGACUGCAUUUGAAACUGGAUAUCUGGAGUGCAGGAGAGGUAAGUGGAAUUCCUAGUGUAGCGGUGAAAUGCGUAGAGAUUAGGAAGAACACCAGUGGCGAAGGCGACUUACUGGACUGUAACUGACACUGAGGCACGAAAGCGUGGGUAGCAAACAGGAUUAGAUACCCUGGUAGUCCACGCCGUAAACGAUGAGUACUAGGUGUAGGGGGUAUCGACUCCCUCUGUGCCGCAGUUAACACAAUAAGUACUCCGCCUGGGAAGUACGAUCGCAAGAUUAAAACUCAAAUGAAUUGACGG
rnacentral:rRNA from 1 species